rnacentral:sRNA from 1 species
CGGGUUCUGCCCGGUACGAGCUUAUACAUAUCCCUGAGGCUAUUCAUCUUCCAUGGGGGUUGUCCCUGCCCGGAUCCUGGUCCGACGUACAUGAUCCCCACCUGACGUACUGGGCGUCAGUGGAUACAUCGGCCAACGGCCAUGGCGGUCCCGCC